UACGUAGGGUGCAAGCGUUGUCCGGAAUUAUUGGGCGUAAAGAGCUCGUAGGCGGUCUGUCGCGUCUGCUGUGAAAACUCGGGGGCUUAACCCCGGGCCUGCAGUGGGUACGGGCAGACUAGAGUGCGGUAGGGGAGACUGGAAUUCCUGGUGUAGCGGUGAAAUGCGCAGAUAUCAGGAGGAACACCGGUGGCGAAGGCGGAUCUCUGGGCCAUUACUGACGCUGAGGAGCGAAAAGCGUGGGGGAGCGAACAGG
rnacentral:rRNA from 1 species